AGGAAAAGUAGGAUUGCUUUAUUCAUAGGAUUCAAGGCCUUGCAAAAUGCAUUUUCAAAUCUCAUCACAAAAUCCAUUACCAACCAUUGCAAAAAUACAUUACAAAGUUGGAUAUUACAAGUUAUACAAGUGUUGACCAUAGACCUAGGAUCUAUUGCAAAACAAACUUGGUGGAUCUUGUUAUAUCUUCACCUCAUCCCAAUCUUCGAGUUUACUUCAUCUUCAUCAUUUUUGCCGUCAUGUGGGCUCAAGCAUGCAUCCAUAAUCCCCAAGUUCACUACCAUGACCAGAGCAAGAAACCUUCCAAACAACCCCUGCAAAAUCAGCUCACAGACCCAAGUGCAUAAACCAAAAUAG